ACUCCUACGGGAGGCAGCAGUAGGGAAUAUUGGUCAAUGGGCGAAAGCCUGAACCAGCCAUGCCGCGUGUCAGAUGAAGGUCCUCUGGAUUGUAAAUGUACUUUUCUACGGGAAGAAUGAGCCGUCUGCGGACGGAAGUUGACGGUACCGUAGGAAUAAGCACCGGCUAACUACGUGCCAGCAGCCGCGGUAAUACGUAGGGUGCAAGCGUUGUCCGGAUUUACUGGGUUUAAAGGGUACGUAGGCGGUUGUGCCAAGUCUGGGGUGAAAGUUUGCAGCUCAACUGUAAAAUUGCCUUGGAUACUGGUCGGCUAGAGUAGUGGAGCGGUGGCUGGAAUUUAUAGUGUAGCGGUGAAAUGCUUAGAUACUAUGAGGAACACCAAUUGCGAAGGCAGGUCACUGGUCACUAACUGACGCUGAGGUACGAAAGUGUGGGAUCAAACAGGAUUAGAUACCCUGGUAGGAUAGCG
rnacentral:rRNA from 1 species